GAUGAACGCUGGCGGCGUGCCUAAUACAUGCAAGUCGAGCGAACAGAUGAGGAGCUUGCUCCUCUGACGUUAGCGGCGGACGGGUGAGUAACACGUGGAUAACCUACCUAUAAGACUGGGAUAACUUCUGGAAACCGGAGCUAAUACCGGAUAAUAUAUUGAACCGCAUGGUUCAAUAGUGAAAGACGGUUUUGCUGUCACUUAUAGAUGGAUCCGCGCCGCAUUAGCUAGUUGGUAAGGUAACGGCUUACCAAGGCAACGAUGCGUAGCCGACCUGAGAGGGUGAUCGGCCACACUGGAACUGAGACACAGUCCAGACUCCUACGGGAGGCAGCAGUAGGGAAUCUUCCGCAAUGGGCGAAAGCCUGACGGAGCAACGCCGCGUGAGUGAUGAAGGUCUUCGGAUCGUAAAACUCUGUUAUUAGGGAAGAACAAAUGUGUAAGUAACUAUGCACGUCUUGACGGUACCUAAUCAGAAAGCCACGGCUAACUACGUG
rnacentral:rRNA from 1 species